UAUUUUAUACCUACGCGGAGGGGUUUUAAAAGGAACGAAACGCGCGAUUGUAGUGACGUCAAAACUGAAACUUCUUUGUUUAUUAUCCUUUUAUUGAAUUAUUUUCUUAAGCUUUAUCUUACAUUCUAGAAAUUGGAGAGCAUAGGUAGAUGAGUCCCUGAAGUUUAUACCUACGCGGAGGGGUUUUAAAAGGAACCAGUGAGUCUAUUGACUUCGUAAAAACUACAAAACUGAAACUUAUUUGUUUCUUAUCCUUUUAUUCAAUUAUUUCUUAAGCCUAAAUGCAAAGCUUUAUCUUACAUUUUAGAAAAUGAAGAGCUUAGGUAGAUGAGUCCCUGAAGUUUAUACCUACGCGGAGGGGUUUUAAAAGGAACGGGAACGUAUCGAAGAUGAGAUAGAUCGAUAUUUUACAGAAAGAAUACAAUUUGAUAACGACUUUGACGCAAUUCAAUGGUGGAAGCAACAUAAAGCUAACUUUCCAAGCAUAUCAAAACUUGCACUUAAAAUAUUAACUAUACCUGCAAGUAGUGCGGCGUCUGAACGUGUAUUUUCCUUGGCAGGCAAUUUAAUAACUGAUAAAAGAAAUCGACUUGCACCCAAAACCGUAGAUAAAAUAAUAUUCCUGAAUUCAAUAUUUAAGACUAACUAAUAUGGCAAUAAGACCUUAGAAACUUAAAAAACAAAAAUAUACAAUGAUAUUGAGAAGUAAUUUUGUGCAAUACCUCAAUCUUAAUAUAUAUUUAGAAGCUAUACUUAUAAUAUAUACUUGUAUCUUUGGAGUUGAA